CACCGGCACAAGGUGAAGAGGUGGGAGGUGUCGGUGCUCACCGGGCGGCAGCACAAGUUGGUUCUUCCGUCGGAGUCCCACGGCAAAAAGGUGGUUUUUGCUAUUGGUGACUCCCAUCUUCGAAGCCUUGCAGAUGGCAUCGUGCGGUUGCCUGAGGGUCGUCUGGCGUGGGGGUUCAUGUCAACGCC